GACGGAGGAUGCAAGUGUUAUCCGGAAUCACUGGGCGUAAAGCGUCUGUAGGUGGUUUAAAAAGCCCACUGUUAAAGAUUGAAGCUUAACUUCAAAAAUGCCGUGGAAACUUUUAAACUUGAGUAUGAUAGGGGUAGAGGGAAUUUCCAGUGGAGCGGUGAAAUGCGUAGAUAUUGGAAAGACCACCAAUGGCGAAGGCACUCUACUGGACCAUUACUGACACUGAGAGACGAAAGCUAGGGGAGCAAAUGGG
rnacentral:rRNA from 1 species